UGGCGGACGGGUGAGUAACGCGUGGAAAACCUGCCGUAUACUGGGGGAUAACACUUAGAAAUAGGUGCUAAUACCGCAUAAGCGCACAGCUUCGCAUGAAGCGGUGUGAAAAACUCUGGUGGUAUACGAUGGUUCCGCGUCUGAUUAGCUAGUUGGUGGGGUAAUGGCCUACCAAGGCAACGGUCAGUAGCCGGCCUGAGAGGGUGAACGGCCACAUUGGGACUGAGACACGGCCCAAACUCCUACGGGAGGCAGCAG
rnacentral:rRNA from 1 species